rnacentral:rRNA from 1 species
CAGCAGCCGCGGUAAAACGUAGGGUGCGAGCGUUAAUCGGAAUUACUGGGCGUAAAGCAUGCGCAGGCGGUUCGUUAAGACAGAUGUGAAAUCCCCGGGCUUAACCUGGGAACUGCAUUUGUGACUGGCGAGCUAGAGUAUGGCAGAGGGGGGUAGAAUUCCACGUGUAGCAGUGAAAUGCGUAGAGAUGUGGAGGAAUACCGAUGGCGAAGGCAGCCCCCUGGGCCAAUACUGACGCUCAUGCACGAAAGCGUGGGGAGCAAACAGGAUUAGAUACCCCCGUAGUCCCUGUCUCUUAUAA